rnacentral:rRNA from 1 species
UACGGGGGGGGCAAGCGUUGUUCGGAAUUACUGGGCGUAAAGGGCUCGUAGGCGGCCAACUAAGUCAGACGUGAAAUCCCCAGGCUCAACCUGGGAACUGCGUCUGAUACUGGAUGGCUUGAAUCCGGGAGAGGGAUGCAGAAUUCCAGGUGUAGCGGUGAAAUGCGUAGAUAUCUGGAGGAACACCGAUGGCGAAGGCAGCCCCCUGGGUCAACACUGACGCUCAUGCACGAAAGCGUGGGGAGCAAACAGG